CCUACGGGGAGCAGCAGUGGGGGAUAUUGCACAAUGGGGGGAACCCUGAUGCAGCGACGCCGCGUGGGUGAAGGAGUGCUUCGGCAUGUAAAGCCCUAUCGGCAGGGAAGAAGCAAGACGGUACCUGACUAAGAAGCCCCGGCUAACUACGUGCCAGCAGCCGCGGUAAUACGUAGGGGGCGAGCGUUAUCCGGAUUCACUGGGUGUAAAGGGAGCGUAGACGGCCAUGCAAGCCAGGGGUGAAAGCCCGGGGCCCAACCCCGGGACUGCCCUUGGAACUGUGCGGCUAGAGUGCGGGAGGGGCAGGCGGAAUGCCUGGUGUAGCGGUGAAAUGCGUAGAUAUCAGGAGGAACACCGGCGGCGAAGGCGGCCUGCUGGACUGCGACUGACGUUGAGGCUCGAAAGCGUGGGGAGCGAACAGGAUUAGAUACCCUGGUAGUC
rnacentral:rRNA from 1 species